CUUUAAUAAACAGCAGCAUACAGUAUCAGCUUUGAAAAAUUUUCUGGGGGAUGACCCCCCAGAUCCCCCUUUUCUUCCGAAACUUAGUAUGACAGUGCAAAUCAAUUACAAAAGCCUUAUAAUUAUUACACUUCAGGUAAAUUUUUAAAAUUGAACUUCAAAUUUCAGGUAAAAUCCUCCAACACCCCAACUUCAGAUGCUUCGCUAUAACUCAUUAUAAUAUAACUCAUUAAUAAUCUAUGUUAUAUACUAGUCGACGUUUAUUCAUAAAUCUGGUCCUUCACCGGCCGUCACGUGUGUAUUGUAUUUUUGUCAAAUCCACCAAUAACCCAGGUGAUCUUGAUACGCGGAAAAGUACUGGCACUAGUUGUCAAAUAGAAAUCCA
rnacentral:lncRNA from 1 species